rnacentral:rRNA from 1 species
GACGAACGCUGGCGGCGUGCCUAAUACAUGCAAGUCGAACGAGAGCGACCGGUGCUUGCACUGGUCAAUCUAGUGGCGAACGGGUGAGUAACACGUGGGUAACCUGCCCAUCAGAGGGGGAUAACAUCCGGAAACGGAUGCUAAAACCGCAUAGGUCUUCGAAACGCAUGGUUUGAAGAGGAAAAGAGGCGCACGCUUCUGCUGAUGGAUGGACCCGCGGUGCAUUAGCUAGUUGGUGAGGUAACGGCUCACCAAGGCCGUGAUGCAUAGCCGACCUGAGAGGGUGAUCGGCCACAUUGGGACUGAGACACGGCCCAAACUCCUACGGGAGGCAGCAGUAGGGAAUCUUCCGCAAUGGACGCAAGUCUGACGGAGCAACGCCGCGUGAGUGAAGAAGGUUUUCGGAUCGUAAAACUCUGUUGUUAGAGAAGAACAAGUGCUAGAGUAACUGUUAGCGCCUUGACGGUAUCUAACCAGAAAGCCACGGCUAACUACGUG